CCAAAUGUGCUGUAACAUCAGAACUUCCAGCCUGUGCCGCAGCAGAAAAGGAGUAUUGGGGAACGUCGGUGGUUUUUGAUUCACGGAGGUCAGCAGCUGCAUGAAGUACAUGCACAGCAGCCUCCCUGUUUCUGUGGGGGUUGGGAACAGCGUUUUGUGGCAAUGUAUGAUUGCAGAGUGAAUGUGUGACAUACGUUUCUCACCUGGGAGCCAACACUGGCUUUGGCAGUUUGAUACGCAACAGUUGGUUCCAUUUCCAUUGGUAAUCCUAACACUGCUGCCUGAACUGCACGCUCAGCUUCCCAGAACCGAGUUGGAUUGACACUGGCUCAAGGAGUCCCAAGGCUCAGAGUGCUCCCACAUCCGACCUAGCCUUCUCAAGCCACGAAGGUAAGGAGCCUGGACAUGGCUGGAUACACUCCGGGUCCCUGGCUUAGCCAAGGCUUUAUGUGGAGGAAUCCUAUGUUCACAGUCACUCUAAGACAUAACAUUAGAGAAGCUCACAAAGCUCCAAAGUAACCACGAGUCUUUACAGAAGAUCUGUAUCAAGAAGGAUUCUCGACAUCAAGCUGCGAGGGAUCUCUGUGCAGCUGUGACCUCGAGAGCCAUCCCUGCUCGAGGGCAGAUCCUGUCGUGCAGCGCGCUGCUGUGCAGGAGAGCUCGAGGGGUGCUUUUGCUGCUCCCUGUUUUGGGGUGAGAUGACCGACUCCUUGCCAUGCUUUGUUUUUAGGCACGCAGUCCGUGUGCCCUCAGCUGUUGAAGUGAGUGUCAGCUAUGAGUUCUCUCAGCCCCCAGUUUGAGACAGCUUUGUGAUGGUUCAUCUCUUUGAGCCAGAGCGUUAGCAGUGCUGUUGCUGGUUGUCUUCCUGUGCCAGGCCUGGUGUGCCAUCCCAGAGGCAGUGCCCUGCAGAUGGGCUGGGGAGGGCUGGGCUGGAACAGGGACUGCUGCGUUGCCUCCCAGCUGCCCUGCCCUUUCUCUUGUCCCUGCAGGCUCCAGUUCAACUUGUGCCUUCCAGGCGUGAUCAUCCCAGGCUGCAGGAGAGCAGCAAAUGGCCACAGCACAUCGUGUCAGGUAGGGGCUGUGGGAAGCAGGCAGGAGAGGCCAAGGGGCGAGGGAUGUGAAUGCAGGGGGAGAGGGAGGUGCCCUCAGCCAGCAUGCGUGUGCUGGGGCCGGAGAAGCGGCUGGGACGGGAGUUUGUGUCGUGUGCGAGCUGCUUCCCUGGGCCUUGGCUGUUCCCAGCAAGGAGCCUCUUUGCUUGCAGGAGCCCGUGAGCUUUGCGGAGUUGGCCGUGUAUUUCAGCAGGGAGGAGUGGGCGCUGCUGGACCCUGCGCAGCGAGCGCUCUACCGGGACGUGAUGCUGGAGACGUACCAGUGCGUGGCCUGGCUGGCGCCACUUCCAGGCCCCAAACCCGGGCUGAUCUCCCUGCUUGAAGGAGGGGAAGACCCCUGGAUCCCAGAUGUGCGUAGCCCUGAGGCCGUGCCAGGAGACCUGAGCCCAGGUGAGUUGCUGGAGGGAGGGAAGGAGGAGGCUGGGGCUGGAAGAGUCCUCUCUGUCUGU
rnacentral:lncRNA from 7 species